UUUUAUUUAUGAAACUCUCUAAUCUGUUAUUGAACAGUUUUUAAAUGAUUUUAGAAAAUUGUGGAAGUAAAGAAACAGGUCUAUAAUUUGUAAAUUGAUGUUUGUCUCCAGUCUUAUAAAUUGGUGCAACUUUAGCUAUUUUCAUUUUGUUUGGAAAUUUACCUAUUUGAAAUUAUAGGUUACUAAUAUACAUCAAUGGUCCUGAGAUCUCUUCAAUAACCUUUUUUAUCGUUUCCAUAUCAAUUCCGUUACAAUCAGUUGAAGUCUUAGAUUUAAACAUUUUUCACGAUUGUAACUAUUUCCUUCUGUGUCACAUUACUGAGGAACAUGGAGUUGGGAUUUGCAAUCUGAGGCAGAGAAUGAGGAGCUGCCAGAAAAAAGGAACAGGAAGCCAGUCCAUCGUCUCGGGCACUCGGAUGAUAGCGAAGAAGACCCGGGAAAUGGUGACCUCGCAUCUCUGGGGUUGGCAAGCCAAUUGCACAGGCAUUCUCCACCGUCUCGCCGAGUGCCAGCAAGAGUCAUGAGUACUUGUCAACUCGACUCCUCAACUGGAGAUAACUUUCUAGCACCUCACCAUGGGGAAGGACGUAUUCAUAUGCCUUCACCAGCACCUGCAUUAAACAUGCAGAGAGUUACACAAGGAACGGCAGUCCCUCCUCGACUCCCUCCAACCCCCUCACCAGCAGCCCUCAAAAUGUGGCAGACAGAGGAGCCUGGAUCCAGCCUGGCCUACAGGCCAACAUGGCGAGGGGGAAGAAUGGCCGACAACAAUUCCUGCUCUGCGCCUGAGGUAAUCCAGAUCAUUAGCCUGCUGGAACAUAUGAAGCACAACCAAGACUAGCUGAUUGCGAAG